rnacentral:rRNA from 1 species
ACGAACGCUGGCGGCAUGCCUCACACAUGCAAGUCGAACGCGACCUUCGGGUCUAGUGGCGCGCGGGUGCGUAACGCGUGGGAACCUGCCCUUAGGUUCGGAAUAACUCCCCGAAAGGGGUGCUAAUACCGGAUAAUGUCUUCGGACCAAAGAUUUAUCGCCUUUGGAUGGGCCCGCGUUGGAUUAGCUAGUUGGUAGGGUAAAAGCCUACCAAGGCGACGAUCCAUAGCUGGUCUGAGAGGAUGAUCAGCCACACUGGGACUGAGACACGGCCCAGACUCCUACGGGAGGCAGCAGUGGGGAAUAUUGGACAAUGGGCGAAAGCCUGAUCCAGCAAUGCCGCGUGAGUGAUGAAGGCCUUAGGGUUGUAAAGCUCUUUUACCCGGGAUGAUAAUGACAGUACCGGGAGAAUAAGCUCCGGCUAACUCCGUG